rnacentral:rRNA from 1 species
UACGUAGGUGGCAAGCGUUGUCCGGAAUUACUGGGUGUAAAGGGUGCGCAGGCGGGUCUGCAAGUUGGAUGUGAAAUUUCGAGGCUUAACCUCGAAACUGCAUCCAAAACUGUAGUUCUUGAGUGAAGUAGAGGUAAGUGGAAUUCCGAGUGUAGCGGUGAAAUGCGUAGAUAUUCGGAGGAACACCAGUGGCGAAGGCGACCUACUGGGCUUUAACUGACGCUGAGGCGCGAAAGCAUGGGGAGCAAACAGG